GUGCUCACCUUGGCAGCACAUAUACUAAAAUUGGAAUGAUACAGAGAAGAUUAGCAUGGCCCCUGCCCAAGGAUGACAUGCAAAUUCAUGAAGCAUUCCAUAUUUUU
rnacentral:snRNA from 1 species